rnacentral:rRNA from 1 species
GACGAACGCUGGCGGCGUGCCUAAUACAUGCAAGUCGAACGCUUUUUCUUUCACCGGAGCUUGCUCCAUCGAAAGAAAAAGAGUGGCGAACGGGUGAGUAACACGUGGGUAACCUGCCCAUCAGAAGGGGAUAACACUUGGAAACAGGUGCUAAUACCGUAUAACACUAUUUUCCGCAUGGAAGAAAGUUGAAAGGCGCUUUUGCGUCACUGAUGGAUGGACCCGCGGUGCAUUAGCUAGUUGGUGAGGUAACGGCUCACCAAGGCAACGAUGCAUAGCCGACCUGAGAGGGUGAUCGGCCACACUGGGACUGAGACACGGCCCAGACUCCUACGGGAGGCAGCAGUAGGGAAUCUUCGGCAAUGGACGAAAGUCUGACCGAGCAACGCCGCGUGAGUGAAGAAGGUUUUCGGAUCGUAAAACUCUGUUGUUAGAGAAGAACAAGGAUGAGAGUAAAAUGUUCAUCCCUUGACGGUAUCUAACCAGAAAGCCACGGCUAACUACGUGCCAGCAGCCGCGGUAAUACGUAGGUGGCAAGCGUUGUCCGGAUUUAUUGGGCGUAAAGCGAGCGCAGGCGGUUUCUUAAGUCUGAUGUGAAAGCCCCCGGCUCAACCGGGGAGGGUCAUUGGAAACUGGGAGACUUGAGUGCAGAAGAGGAGAGUGGAAUUCCAUGUGUAGCGGUGAAAUGCGUAGAUAUAUGGAGGAACACCAGUGGCGAAGGCGGCUCUCUGGUCUGU